rnacentral:rRNA from 1 species
CUUGCUCUCGGGUGACGAGUGGCGGACGGGUGAGUAAUGUCUGGGAAACUGCCUGAUGGAGGGGGAUAACUACUGGAAACGGUAGCUAAUACCGCAUAAUGUCGCAAGACCAAAGAGGGGGACCUUCGGGCCUCUUGCCAUCAGAUGUGCCCAGAUGGGAUUAGCUAGUAGGUGGGGUAACGGCUCACCUAGGCGACGAUCCCUAGCUGGUCUGAGAGGAUGACCAGCCACACUGGAACUGAGACACGGUCCAGACUCCUACGGGAGGCAGCAGUGGGGAAUAUUGCACAAUGGGCGCAAGCCUGAUGCAGCCAUGCCGCGUGUAUGAAGAAGGCCUUCGGGUUGUAAAGUACUUUCAGCGGGGAGGAAGGUGUUGUGGUUAAUAACCACAGCAAUUGACGUUACCCGCAGAAGAAGCACCGGCUAACUCCGUGCCAGCAGCCGCGGUAAUACGGAGGGUGCAAGCGUUAAUCGGAAUUACUGGGCGUAAAGCGCACGCAGGCGGUCUGUCAAGUCGGAUGU